UACGGGGGGAGGCAAGCGUUGUUCGGAUUUACUGGGCGUGAAAGGCUACGUGCGGCCAACUAAGUCGGAUGUGAAAUCCCCAGGCUUAACCUGGGAACUGCAUCCGAUACUGGAUGGCUUGAAUCCGGGAGAGGGAUGCAGAAUUCCAGGUGUAGCGGUGAAAUGCGUAGAUAUCUGGAGGAAUACCGGUGGCGAAGGCGGCAUCUUGGACCGGCAUUGACGCUGAUGAGCGAAAGCUAGGGGAGCAACGGGG
rnacentral:rRNA from 1 species